rnacentral:rRNA from 1 species
GGGCUUUCGAUGAAGUGCUUACUGCAUUUUUUCUUACACAUGUGUUUUUCUUUUUUUGAAAACUUUGCUUUGGUAGGCCUUCUAUAUGGGGCCUGCCAGAGAUUAAACUCAACCAAAUUUUAUUUAAUGUCAACCGAUUAUUUAAUAGUCAAAACUUUCAACAACGGAUCUCUUGGUUCUCGCAUCGAUGAAGAACGCAGCGAAAUGCGAUAAGUAAUAUGAAUUGCAGAUAUUCGUGAAUCAUCGAAUCUUUGAACGCACAUUGCGCCCUUUGGUAUUCCAAAGGGCAUGCCUGUUUGAGCGUCAUUUCUCCCUCAAACCCUCGGGUUUGGUGUUGAGCGAUACGCUGGGUUUGCUUGAAAGAAAGGCGGAGUAUAAACUAAUGGAUAGGUUUUUUCCACUCAUUGGUACAAACUCCAAAACUUCUUCCAAAUUCGACCUCAAAUCAGGUAGGACUACCCGCUGAACUUAAGCAUAUCAAAAGGCCGGAGGAA